CGUUGCCUUUAUGGCUUUGUUGGAAAUGAGCGUGAUUGCAGCUUUUGUCUCAAUUGCGUUCACCAGCUGGAGAGGCUGACAGAGCCCCGGCAGAGCCGAGUGCCUGCCUGCCGAGGGAUGGGGUGCGGGAGGGGUCCGGCUCAGCCCGGGGCUCGCUGCUGACGCGGCCCCUGGGGACAGGCGAGUGGUCCCUGGGAACAGGCGAGUGACCCUGGUGACAGGCGAGUGGCCCUGGGAACAGGCGAGUGGUCCCUGGUGACAGGCGAGUUGUCCCUGGUGACAGGCGAGUGGUCCCUGGUGACAGGCGAGUUGUCCCUGGUGACAGGCGAGUGGCCCUGGUGACACGGGCUGGCUCCGUGGCAACCGUGGCUCCUCCCGGGACUCGCCGGGGGCGGGAGCAGCCAGCCUCGGGAGAUGGGUCCUGCUGUUUACACCGUGCCCAUUAAUUCAGGGCACUCGGCAUUGGUUUGGGUGUUCCAGAGCUGAAUGGAAAGACAGGAUUAUGUGUUGUGUCUGCAGACGCUGCUUCAUACAAACCCCUGCUGCAGCCGCCUUGUCUCCCUGCUGAUAAGGCUGUGGAUGAAGCCUGUCUUGCUGAGGAGGCCCUCAGGGUUGAGCAGCUGGAAGAAGUUGAGAUAAGUAAUCUCCAAGGUGCUCUUGUGCAGGUGGAAGAGGAGACAGCUGAAGCUGCUGAAACUGAUGCUGAAGGUACAACCUGUAGCAGUAUGAUGCCAAACAGGGAUGAGGUGAAGCAGUGCCUGGUGGGGGGAGAAUCAAGCUUCUCCUUUCCUGUCAGGGAGCAGGCAGUGACUUCUCUGCAGCGUGGGCCUGCAGGGGCAGUCAGGGCUUUCCACUGGGGUAAAACAUCCUGUGGGCACAGCACAAUAUUGCAAUUUGGCACUGGCUGUAGCUAGCUCUGAAUGUACAAUGCUGUUGUUUAAGCAAUGAUGUGAAAUAAGGGCUUCUCCUUUAGCUGGAGAAUGUGAAUGGAUAAAAAGUAUUUUCUCUACCACUUUUCUCUAUUUGGAAAAUAACCAAUGGCAUAAAACACAUUUUAAUAUAACAUUUUAGGAAACAGUGAUUGGUAAUGAAGUGAGUUCCCAUUGCAGCCUGACUGAGCAAAGGCACAUCCUGGCAGAACUCCACUGACAUCAGGAAGUUGCACAGGGAAUGGCUUGGUCUCACCCCUGAGAUUCUCUUGCAGAGGGGCAAUGAUGCUAGAAAAUGCUGAUUUGUCAGGAACUGCAGUGACAGGACAAGGAAUAAUGGGUACAAACUGAAAGAGGGGGAAUUUAGGUGAGAUUAUUAGGAAGAAAUUCUUCACAGUGAGGGUGGUGAUAUACUGGAACAUGUUUCCCAGGGAGGUUAUGGAUGCCCCAACCCUGGAAAUGCCCAAAGCCAGGCUGGAUAAGGCCUUGAGCAACCUGGAGUAGUGGGAGAUAUCCCUGUCCAUGGGACACAAUCUUUAAAGUCCUUUCUAACCCUUAACCUUCCACGAUUCCAUGACAAACACGUGUUAGGAUGCCCACCACUGCAGCCGUGUGCUACCACCCCCUGUGAGCAGCAGGCAGCCCCAAAGCCCCGUGAGCCCCGCGUUUGUGCCUCGACACAACCCUCCCAUCUCAAACCACUCUGUGUUUUA